UACGUAGGGCGCAAGCGUUAUCCGGAAUUAUUGGGCGUAAAGAGCUCGUAGGCGGUUUGUCGCGUCUGCUGUGAAACUGGGGGCUCAACUCCCAGCCUGCAGUGGGUACGGGCAGACUAGAGUGCGGUAGGGGAGAUUGGAAUUCCUGGUGUAGCGGUGGAAUGCGCAGAUAUCAGGAGGAACACCGAUGGCGAAGGCAGAUCUCUGGGCCGUAACUGACGCUGAGGAGCGAAAGCAUGGGGAGCGAACAGG
rnacentral:rRNA from 1 species